UACGGAGGAUGCGAGCGUUAUCCGGAUUUAUUGGGUUUAAAGGGUGCGUAGGCGGACUGUUAAGUCAGCGGUAAAAGCCCGGGGCUCAACCCCGGCGAGCCGUUGAAACUGGCUGUCUUGAGAUGUCGAGAGGUAUGCGGAAUGCGCAGUGUAGCGGUGAAAUGCUUAGAUAUUGCGCAGAACUCCGAUUGCGAAGGCAGUAUACCGGCGGCGAUCUGACGCUGAGGCACGAAAGCGUGGGUAUC
rnacentral:rRNA from 1 species